UUAAGCGACUAAGCGUACACGGUGGAUGCCCUGGCAGUCAGAGGCGAUGAAGGACGUGCUAAUCUGCGAAAAGCGCCGGCGAGGUGAUAUGAACCUUUGACCCGGCGAUGUCCGAAUGGGGAAACCCAGUGCAAUCCGUUGCACUAUCGUUAACUGAAUACAUAGGUUAACGAGGCGAACCGGGGGAACUGAAACAUCUAAGUACCCCGAGGAAAAGAAAUCAACCGAGAUUCCCCCAGUAGCGGCGAGCGAACGGGGAGCAGCCCGGAGUCUGAAUCAGCUUGUGUGUUAGUGGAACGGUCUGGAAAGUCCGACGGUACAGGGUGAUAGUCCCGUACACGAAAAUGCACAUGCUGUGAACUCGAAGAGUAGGGCGGGACACGUGGUAUCCUGUCUGAAUAUGGGGGGACCAUCCUCCAAGGCUAAAUACUCCUGACUGACCGAUAGUGAACCAGUACCGUGAGGGAAAGGCGAAAAGAACCCCGGCGAGGGGAGUGAAAAAGAACCUGAAACCGUGUACGUACAAGCAGUGGGAGCCUCUUUAUGGGGUGACUGCGUACCUUUUGUAUAAUGGGUCAGCGACUUAUAUUCUGUAGCAAGGUUAACCGUAUAGGGGAGCCGAAGGGAAACCGAGUCUUAACUGGGCGUUAAGUUGCAGGGUAUAGACCCGAAACCCGGUGAUCUAGCCAUGGGCAGGUUGAAGGUUGGGUAACACUAACUGGAGGACCGAACCGACUAAUGUUGAAAAAUUAGCGGAUGACCUGUGGCUGGGGGUGAAAGGCCAAUCAAACCGGGAGAUAGCUGGUUCUCCCCGAAAGCUAUUUAGGUAGCGCCUCGUGAACUCAUCUUCGGGGGUAGAGCACUGUUUCGGCUAGGGGGCCAUCCCGGCUUACCAACCCGAUGCAAACUACGAAUACCGAAGAAUGUUAUCACGGGAGACACACGGCGGGUGCUAACGUCCGUCGUGAAGAGGGAAACAACCCAGACCGCCAGCUAAGGUCCCAAAGUCAUGGUUAAGUGGGAAACGAUGUGGGAAGGCACAGACAGCCAGGAUGUUGGCUUAGAAGCAGCCAUCAUUUAAAGAAAGCGUAAUAGCUCACUGGUCGAGUCGGCCUGCGCGGAAGAUGUAACGGGGCUAAACCAUGCACCGAAGCUGCGGCAGCGACACUAUGUGUUGUUGGGUAGGGGAGCGUUCUGUAAGCCGUUGAAGGUGUGCUGUGAGGCAUGCUGGAGGUAUCAGAAGUGCGAAUGCUGACAUAAGUAACGAUAAAGCGGGUGAAAAGCCCGCUCGCCGGAAGACCAAGGGUUCCUGUCCAACGUUAAUCGGGGCAGGGUGAGUCGACCCCUAAGGCGAGGCCGAAAGGCGUAGUCGAUGGGAAACAGGUUAAUAUUCCUGUACUUGGUGUUACUGCGAAGGGGGGACGGAGAAGGCUAUGUCAGCCGGGCGACGGUUGUCCCGGUUUAAGCAUGUAGGCGGAGGUUCCAGGUAAAUCCGGUACCUUAUUAACGCUGAGGUGUGAUGACGAGGCACUACGGUGCUGAAGUGAUAAAUGCCCUGCUUCCAGGAAAAGCCUCUAAGCAUCAGGUAACACGAAAUCGUACCCCAAACCGACACAGGUGGUCAGGUAGAGAAUACCAAGGCGCUUGAGAGAACUCGGGUGAAGGAACUAGGCAAAAUGGUGCCGUAACUUCGGGAGAAGGCACGCUGAUAUGUAGGUGAAGCCCCUGCGGGCGGAGCUGAAAUCAGUCGAAGAUACCAGCUGGCUGCAACUGUUUAUUAAAAACACAGCACUGUGCAAACACGAAAGUGGACGUAUACGGUGUGACGCCUGCCCGGUGCCGGAAGGUUAAUUGAUGGGGUUAGCGGCAACGCGAAGCUCUUGAUCGAAGCCCCGGUAAACGGCGGCCGUAACUAUAACGGUCCUAAGGUAGCGAAAUUCCUUGUCGGGUAAGUUCCGACCUGCACGAAUGGCGUAAUGAUGGCCAGGCUGUCUCCACCCGAGACUCAGUGAAAUUGAACUCGCUGUGAAGAUGCAGUGUACCCGCGGCAAGACGGAAAGACCCCGUGAACCUUUACUAUAGCUUGACACUGAACACUGGUCCUUGAUGUGUAGGAUAGGUGGGAGGCUUUGAAGCGUGGACGCCAGUCUGCGUGGAGCCAACCUUGAAAUACCACCCUUUAAUGGCUGGUGUUCUAACGUAGACCCGUCACCCGGGUUGCGGACAGUGUCUGGUGGGUAGUUUGACUGGGGCGGUCUCCUCCCAAAGAGUAACGGAGGAGCACGAAGGUUGGCUAAUCCUGGUCGGACAUCAGGAGGUUAGUGCAAUGGCAUAAGCCAGCUUGACUGCGAGCGUGACGGCGCGAGCAGGUGCGAAAGCAGGUCAUAGUGAUCCGGUGGUUCUGAAUGGAAGGGCCAUCGCUCAACGGAUAAAAGGUACUCCGGGGAUAACAGGCUGAUACCGCCCAAGAGUUCAUAUCGACGGCGGUGUUUGGCACCUCGAUGUCGGCUCAUCACAUCCUGGGGCUGAAGUAGGUCCCAAGGGUAUGGCUGUUCGCCAUUUAAAGUGGUACGCGAGCUGGGUUUAGAACGUCGUGAGACAGUUCGGUCCCUAUCUGCCGUGGGCGCUGGAGAAUUGAGGGGGGCUGCUCCUAGUACGAGAGGACCGGAGUGGACGCAUCACUGGUGUUCGGGUUGUCAUGCCAAUGGCACUGCCCGGUAGCUAAAUGCGGAAGAGAUAAGUGCUGAAAGCAUCUAAGCACGAAACUUGCCCCGAGAUGAGUUCUCCCUGAGACUUUAAGUCUCCUGAAGGAACGUUGAAGACGACGACGUUGAUAGGUCGGGUGUGUAAGCGCAGCGAUGCGUUGAGCUAACCGAUACUAAUGAACCGUGAGGCUUAACCU
rnacentral:rRNA from 2 species